rnacentral:rRNA from 1 species
CCCUUAGAUGUUCUGGGCCGCACACGCGCUACACUGAAGGAGGCAGCGUGUACUCCUGGAUCGAAAGAUUUGGGUAACCCGCGAAUCUCCUUCGUGCUAGGGAUUGAGGUUUGCAAUUAUCCUUCAUGAACGAGGAAUUCCCAGUAAGUGCAAGUCAUAAGCUUGCGCUGACUACGUCCCUGCCCUUUGUACACACCGCCCGUCGCUACUACCGAUUGAAUGAUUUAGUGAGGACUUCGGACUGGGACCGAUGCGGCUUUCGGGCUGCGUCGGUAUUCUGGAAAGAUGUCCAAACUGUAUCAUUUAGAGGAAGGUGAANUCGUAACA